rnacentral:rRNA from 1 species
GACGAACGCUGGCGGCGCGCCUAACACAUGCAAGUCGAACGAGCGAGAGAGAGCUUGCUUUCUCGAGCGAGUGGCGAACGGGUGAGUAACGCGUGAGGAACCUGCCUCAAAGAGGGGGACAACAGUUGGAAACGACUGCUAAUACCGCAUAAGCCCACGGGUCGGCAUCGACCAGAGGGAAAAGGAGCAAUCCGCUUUGAGAUGGCCUCGCGUCCGAUUAGCUAGUUGGUGAGGUAAUGGCCCACCAAGGCGACGAUCGGUAGCCGGACUGAGAGGUUGAACGGCCACAUUGGGACUGAGACACGGCCCAGACUCCUACGGGAGGCAGCAGUGGGGAAUAUUGCACAAUGGGGGAAACCCUGAUGCAGCGACGCCGCGUGGAGGAAGAAGGUCUUCGGAUUGUAAACUCCUGUUGUUGAGGAAGAUAAUGACGGUAC